rnacentral:rRNA from 1 species
GUUGGUGUGGUAAAGGCAUACCAAGGCAACGAUCAGUAGCUGGUCUGAGAGGAUGAGCAGCCACACUGGGACUGAGACACGGCCCAGACUCCUACGGGAGGCAGCAGUGGGGAAUUUUCCGCAAUGGGCGAAAGCCUGACGGAGCAAGACCGCGUGGGGGAGGANAGGCUCUAGGGUUGUAAACCCCUUUUCUUUGGGAAGAAGUUCNUGACGGUACCAAAGGAAUCAGCCUCGGCUAACUCCGUGCCAGCAGCCGCGGUAAUACGGAGGAGGCAAGCGUUAUCCGGAAUGAUUGGGCGUAAAGCGUCCGCAGGUGGCCAUGUAAGUCUGCUGUCAAAACCCAGGGCUCAACUCUGGUCAGGCAGUGGAAACUACGUAGCUAGAGUCUGGUAGGGGCAAAGGGAAUUCCCGGUGUAGCGGUGAAAUGCGUAGAGAUCGGGAAGAACAUCGGUGGCGAAAGCGCUUUGCUAGACCAGAACUGACACUCA